UGAAUACUAGGUGCUGGGAGGCAUAAGUCUUUCGGUGCCGUCGCAAACGCAUUAAGUAUUCCACCUGGGGAGUACGUUCGCAAGAAUGAAACUCAAAGGAAUUGACGGGGACCCGCACAAGCGGUGGAGCAUGUGGUUUAAUUCGACGCAACGCGAAGAACCUUACCCGGUCUUGAGAUCCUCCUGAAUACUGAGUAAUGUCAGUAGUCCUUCGGGACAGGAGAGACAGGUGGUGCAUGGCUGUCGUCAG
rnacentral:rRNA from 1 species